rnacentral:RNase_P_RNA from 2 species
GGAGGGGAGGUCAUCAGUGUGGCCACGAGCCGAGUGCGUCAUGUCACUCCACCCCCCAUGUCCCUUGGGAAGGUCUGAGACUAGGGCCAGAAGCACCCCUAAACAGGGCUCUCCCUGAGUUUCGGGGAGUUGAGUUGGCAGAGACCCGGGCUCCGCGCGAGGUCAGACUGGGCAGGAGAUGCCGUGGACCCCGCCCCCCAGGACGGGCGCGGCGGACGCCUCCUCAGCCUGAACAAGGUGCUUUUUUUGCGAAACACCGCCAGCGAAGUGAGUUCAAUGGCUGAGGUGAGGUACCCCGCAUGGGGGCUUCAUAACCCAAUUCAGACUACUCUCCCCCGUCC